rnacentral:rRNA from 1 species
GACGAACCGAGCGAACGUUAUUCGGAAUCACUGGGCUUAAAGGGCGCGUAGGCGGGCCGUCAAGUCGAGGGUGAAAUCCCCCAGCUCAACUGGGGAAGUGCCUCCGAUACUGGCGGCCUCGAGGGGGAUAGGGGCAUGCGGAACUUCCGGUGGAGCGGUGAAAUGCGUAGAUAUCGGAAGGAACAUCAGUGGCGAAAGCGACUUCCUGGACCAAUACUGACGCUCAUGUGCGAAAGCGUGGGGAGCAAACAGG